rnacentral:tRNA from 1 species
GCACCCUUAGCUUAACGGAUAAAGCUCCGGUCUUCGAAACCGGCAAUGGGGGUUCGAUUCCCUCAGGGUGCACCA